rnacentral:rRNA from 1 species
GACGAACGCUGGCGGCGUGCCUAAUACAUGCAAGUAGAACGCUGAAGGAGGAGCUUGCUUCUCCGGAUGAGUUGCGAACGGGUGAGUAACGCGUAGGUAACCUGCCUGGUAGCGGGGGAUAACUAUUGGAAACGAUAGCUAAUACCGCAUAACAGUAGAUAUUGCAUGAUAUCUGCUUGAAAGGUGCAAUUGCAUCACUACCAGAUGGACCUGCGUUGUAUUAGCUAGUUGGUGAGGUAACGGCUCACCAAGGCGACGAUACAUAGCCGACCUGAGAGGGUGAUCGGCCACACUGGGACUGAGACACGGCCAGACUCCUACGGGAGGCAGCAGUAGGGAAUCUUCGGCAAUGGACGGAAGUCUGACCGAGCAACGCCGCGUGAGUGAAGAAGGUUUUCGGAUCGUAAAGCUCUGUUGUAAGAGAAGAACGAGUGUGAGAGUGGAAAGUUCACACUGUGACGGUAUCUUACCAGAAAGGGACGGCUAACUACGUG